AUAUAUUAGAUCCCUAUAUUAUAUAACAUAUAAUAUUAUAUGUAUUGUAUGAUCCCUACAAGAACGCUGCAGUGAGCUCUGAUGGUACCACUUCACUCCAGCCUGGGUGUCCAAGAGAGAACCUGUACCUAAAAAAAAAAAAAAGUAACCAGAGCUUGUGGAUCAGAGACUCGAUCACAGAGGGACAGAGUAUAAUACUUUCUGUAUCUGCUCCAGGCUGGGACCAUGCCUUUCCCAGGCUUCUGCUAGAGGAAUUUGGAAGAACUACAUUAGAUCCGUUAGAAGCUCUGAGGCAAGGGCAUUGCAUAAGCAGAAAGAGAGUGACAUCUCAGUUUGUUGUUUAAACAGUAACUGUGGCUAAGUGAAGUGUGUUUGACACAAACAUGGUGCUCCUUAAAUGCUUAAUGAAUGAAUGAGCACAUGAAUGAAGACUAAGACGAUGUUCCCGACUCUU
rnacentral:lncRNA from 1 species